AACGACUCUCGGCAACGGAUAUCUCGGCUCACGCAUCGAUGAAGAACGUAGCAAAAUGCGAUACUUGGUGUGAAUUGCAGAAUCYCGUGAACCAUCGAGUUUUUGAACGCAAGUUGCGCCCGAAGCCUUUUGGCUGAGGGCACGUCUGCCUGGGCGUCACAC
rnacentral:rRNA from 1 species